CAUACGGGAUCUGUAAAAUGUAUAUAGGUUCGGAGCUUUUGUGAAAUAGCAUAGUUACAAAUAGAAAUCAUCAAACUGGAUGGACAUCAGAAAUAGAGGAAGGACUAAGAACAAACAAGAGAGAACUAUUGUAAAGUAGACUGUGUCUGUAGAAUGUGUAUAAGAUGUAUGGAUUGAAGGUAGAAGCAGAAGUGUUUAUUAGUUUACUCCAAUUGGGGGAUCGGCGGAAGGGUUUGCAGGGAAUAAUAAUAAAGAUGCAGAUCAGGGACUUGGGUCCUCACGGGACGGGCCAUCAGUACCUCAUGUAGACUGAGGCCAGUUAUCCGGACCAGGGUGGAACACAAUGAAGACAAGGCUAUGGGUAGCACAUCCACCCAGGCAGGCAUGUGCACAAAAUCUUUUUGCAUAUUUACCAAAGUGCCCCAGCAGACUGGUAGGCUUGACAAAGGUCUGUACAUGCUUUCCUGCCUUGUGUUCUACAACUACAGUAGGUUGACUAUGACCUUAAUAUGGUGACCUUAAUAAUAUUAUUUAAAAUCAGUGUCAGAGGAAGGCCUGAAAAAUUGUCAAAAACUCAAGUCGUCGAAGUCAUAGACUGUUCUCUCUGCUACUGCACGGCAAGUCAAGGUCCAAAAGGCUCCUUAACAGCUUCUACCCACAAGCCAUAAGACUGCUGAACAAUUAAUCAAAUGGCCACCCGGACUGCUUGUAGGUCAUUUUAUAUAUUGCAGCUUUUCUUGGGCAGUGAGCUACUCUGAAGGAGCAGAACAUGCCUUGUGUCGCCAAGACAUACCUUAUUCAUUCUUUAUUAAGUUGUUCAACAUAUUUCUACGUGGUGUUUCCUUUCUGAAGUAGUGAUUAUGUAGAAACAAAUAUAUAGAGAAAUAAACAUUCUAAGCCAGAGGUGGAGCUAGUUGCAAGAACGCUCCGGUCUCAAAUAGUUAAUUUGAAUAACAUGAUGUUAGUUUUGGACAUUGUCAUAUAAGGGUGAGUUUUUUUUCAUGAGACACAACCUACAGUGAACAUUCACAUUUAAACCAGGAGUCCGACCACAGUAAGUACUGUUACUGAUCUUUGACUAAAACUAAUUUAUAAUAAUCAACAGUGCAAUCAAAGGAGUUUGUGUGUGUGUGAACAUGUUUAACUAUACUUGUGGGGACCAGAUUUGGGGUUAGGGGUUAGAGAAAAUGUGUUAGCAAAA